AGCAGCCGCGGUAAUUCCAGCUCCAAUAGCGUAUAUUAGUGUUGUUGCGGUUAAAAAGCUCGUAGUUGAAUUUCGGGAUUGGGAUAUAUCGGUCAUGUCUUUAGGGGCAUGAAUCGGUGUGUGGCUAAUUCUCACCUUCUGGUGAAUUGGGAUGCUCUUGGGUAUUUCAAUGAACUAGGACUUUUACUUUGAAAAAAUUAGUGUGUUUAAAGUGGGCAUUUUUGUUUGAAUACAUUAGCAUGGAAUAAUAAAAUAGGACGAUGGUUCUAUUUUGUUGGUUUUAGGACCACGUAAUGAUUAAUAGGGAUAGUUGGGGGCAUUAGUAUUCAAUUGUCAGAGGUGAAAUUCUUGGAUUCAUUGAGGACUAACUACUGCGAAAGCAUUUGCCAAGGAUGUUUUCAUUAAUCAAGAACAAAAGUUAGGGGACCAAAGACGAUUUAUGUACGUCGUAGUCUUAACCAUAAACUAUGCCGACUAGGAAUCAGACAAAGUUAAUUUUUUAACGACUUGUUUGGUACCUUACG
rnacentral:rRNA from 1 species